rnacentral:rRNA from 1 species
CCGUGUACGUACAAGCAGUGGGAGCACAGGUUUACCUGUGUGACUGCGUACCUUUUGUAUAAUGGGUCAGCGACUUAUAUUCUGUAGCAAGGUUAACCGUAUAGGGGAGCCGGAGGGAAACCGAGUCUUAAUUGGGCGUUAAGUUGCAGGGUAUAGACCCGAAACCCGGUGAUCUAGCCAUGGGCAGGUUGAAGGUUGGGUAACACUAACUGGAGGACCGAACCGACUAAUGUUGAAAAAUUAGCGGAUGACCUGUGGCUGGGGGUGAAAGGCCAAUCAAACCGGGAGAUAGCUGGUUCUCCCCGAAAGCUAUUUAGGUAGCGCCUCGUGAAUUCAUCUCCGGGGGUAGAGCACUGUUUCGGCUAGGGGGCCAUCCCGGCUUACCAACCCGAUGCAAACUGCGAAUACCGGAGAAUGUUAUCACGGGAGACACACGGCGGGUGCUAACGUCCGUCGUGAAGAGGGAAACAACCCAGACCGCCAGCUAAGGUCCCAAAGUCAUGGUUAAGUGGGAAACGAUGUGGGAAGGCCCAGACAGCCAGGAUGUUGGCUUAGAAGCAGCCAUCAUUUAAAGAAAGCGUAAUAGCUCACUGGUCGAGUCGGCCUGCGCGGAAGAUGUAACGGGGCUAAACCAUGCACCGAAGCUGCGGCAGCGACGCUUAUGCGUUGUUGGGUAGGGGAGCGUUCUGUAAGCCUGUGAAGGUGUGUCGUGAGGCAUGCUGGAGGUAUCAGAAGUGCGAAUGCUGACAUAAGUAACGAUAAAGCGGGUGAAAAGCCCGCUCGCCGGAAGACCAAGGGUUCCUGUCCAACGUUAAUCGGGGCAGGGUGAGUCGACCCCUAAGGCGAGGCCGAAAGGCGUAGUCGAUGGGAAACGGGUUAAUAUUCCCGUACUUGGUGUUACUGCGAAGGGGGGACGGAGAAGGCUAUGUUGGCCGGGCGACGGUUGUCCCGGUUUAAGCGUGUAGGUGUGUGUUCCAGGUAAAUCCGGUUCACUUUAACACUGAGGCGUGACGACGAGGCACUACGGUGCUGAAGCAACAAAUGCCCUGCUUCCAGGAAAAGCCUCUAAGCAUCAGGUAACAUCAAAUCGUACCCCAAACCGACACAGGUGGUCAGGUAGAGAAUACCAAGGCGCUUGAGAGAACUCGGGUGAAGGAACUAGGCAAAAUGGUGCCGUAACUUCGGGAGAAGGCACGCUGACACGUAGGUGAAGUGAUUUACUCAUGGAGCUGAAGUCAGUCGAAGAUACCAGCUGGCUGCAACUGUUUAUUAAAAACACAGCACUGUGCAAACACGAAAGUGGACGUAUACGGUGUGACGCCUGCCCGGUGCCGGAAGGUUAAUUGAUGGGGUCAGCGCAAGCGAAGCUCCUGAUCGAAGCCCCGGUAAACGGCGGCCGUAACUAUAACGGUCCUAAGGUAGCGAAAUUCCUUGUCGGGUAAGUUCCGACCUGCACGAAUGGCGUAAUGAUGGCCAGGCUGUCUCCACCCGAGACUCAGUGAAAUUGAACUCGCUGUGAAGAUGCAGUGUACCCGCGGCAAGACGGAAAGACCCCGUGAACCUUUACUAUAGCUUGACACUGAACAUUGAGCCUUGAUGUGUAGGAUAGGUGGGAGGCUUUGAAGUGUGGACGCCAGUCUGCAUGGAGCCGACCUUGAAAUACCACCCUUUAAUGUUUGAUGUUCUAACGUGGACCCGU